UACGGGGGGGGCAAGCGUUGUUCGGAAUUACUGGGCGUAAAGGGCGCGUAGGCGGCCUUCUAAGUCGGACGUGAAAUCCCUCGGCUUAACCGAGGAACUGCGUCCGAUACUGAAAGGCUUGAAUCCGGGAGAGGGAUGUGGAAUUCCAGGUGUAGCGGUGAAAUGCGUAGAUAUUGCUCGGAAGGCCAGAGCCGAAGGGGCCCUACUGGUGCGCAACUGACACUGAGGCACGAAAGCGUGGGGAGCAAACAGG
rnacentral:rRNA from 1 species